rnacentral:lncRNA from 1 species
AUGAUAUCUGUACGGUGGCUGCCUUUCAUGGGGGUGAGUUCUGAGAGGAGACAUGCCAAUGUACAAAUGUUUAUCAAGCUUUUGUUUGUAUUACAGGCAGUUUUGAACAUCUGGAGGCCUGAUUUAUUGGAGAUUGCAAAUGUACGGUGUAACAUAGCUGUGGAGAGCGAGAAGAUCAGGAUUGUCAAUGCUGUCAUUGCUUUUACUGGAAUCCCCAGCACGAAUUGAAGAGACUCCAUGAAGGAAAAAGUAUAGUAUUGAUGAGGAAUACCUUGUUAUAUUUCAAUAAGGAUACCUGGAUUCUAUAUCAUAUAAGGUAAGAUACUGAUUCUAUUAGGCUUUCAAAAUUGGUAUAAAUUUGGAGAUAUCAUACUCUUAGGGCCAGUUAAAUAUCAUUUUUUAAAAAAAAUUUCUACCCUAUUUUGCUUCUUUUUACAUAGCUUCUUUCUACAUAUUUUUGGUAGUUUUAAACAUUUCAAAUUUGACAUGAAAGUCACGUGUGUGUAUAUAUACAUACAGACUUUAUAUACAAAGUUUAUAUAUAUGACUGUGUUUGUUUACAUAUAUAGUAUAUUGGAAUGCUCAGGUGAAGUCAAAUGAAUAUGACUGAAGAAAAUCUCUGAAAUAUCUGUAUUUCCAAGGACUAUUAACAUAAAGAUUAAUUUAGAAUUAAAUGAAACCAAAGCCUCUGUAAUUCUAAAAAACAAAAGGUUUUCUAAAUAGCAAACAACCAUAUAUUUAUUGUUUGAGUCAAUUUUAUCAUAGGUUGCUUUGAUGUAUGUCAUUAAAACCUAUGAGGAAAAUUUUGAAAUAUGAAUUAGAUGAGAGUCUACCUAAUAAAUUCCCAAGAAGCAUCUCUGUUCUAAUAAUUUUUAAAAUUAAGCUAG